AUGACUUCGUAUGAACAACAAGGAAAGCCUUUGCCCAAAUUCGGGGACUGGGAUGUAAAUGAUCCUGCAUCAGCUGAAGGAUUCACUGUUAUAUUCAACAAAGCCAGAGAUGAGAAAAAAACUGGCGGAGGAGGAUCGGCCCGAAUUAAUUCACAACGAAGAUCUGAGUCGCGCAAAGAAGAUGAUAAAUCUGCCAAAAAAAAGUGGUUUUGCUUCAAACCGUAG